ensembl:lncRNA
AUUCAGUGCUUCAGGCUGAGGCCUCUCAGUUCUAUUCCCUGACCGAGUCCUCCAUCACUUCUCUGACCCCAUCCCACUGGGGUAGCAGUGCUGGACGGCCCAACUUCCCCUGAACCCCUAGGUCUUCAGAAUGCUCAGUGCUCCCGUUUCCCCAUCAAUGUGUAGGCCGACUUCUGCCUUCCUUGUCAGCUAAGGGGCCCUGCUCUGCGGCUCCAGGGUCCUGAGGAUGGAUCCUCUGCCGGGAGGUGGCAACAGGUGCAGGACGGAGACAUGCAGGGCCAGCUGGGAGCCACCCUUGUGUCUGCAGGUGGUCCUGUGGGGGAGGAACCCUGGCAAUGACUGAACUUCCUGCUCCAUUGGGUGUGGGCAGUGUGUGCCCUGGGGACUUCAGAGAGCAUGCACAGGCCUUUUCUAAGUUGGCAGGACAGGCAUUGGAGUUGGGAAUUGGAGGUUCCCCUUGAGGUCACUGUCCCCCGAAAUCCCACUCAUUUGGGAUGCAGCCUGCAAAUGCUGCACCCUGAAGGGCGCCCGGCCGGUGCCGAGGCCCAGGCGCUGGCGGCCCAGCACAGGGACGCUCUGCACUUGUGGCCGCUGCGGAGAGACAGAGUUCUUGGAUGGGAAGACUGAGCCCGCAUGCUCAGCAGCAGCCAGCUCCCUCAGCUCCUCACUCCUACCGGGAGCACCCCCAUCCCUCUGAGGCACCUGCCCCUGUCCCCAGCCCCAUCCCACCUCUCACAGCAGUCUGGGAGCUGACUGCCCCAGGGACUUCCUGAAGGCCCUUGCUCUCUUUGCUCUGCUCCCGAAGCCUGCUGGGCGGAGGCCAGCAUCUCAUAGGAACCAUCUUCUGAGCCUGUGGCUUUUCACUUCAUUUUCCUUUUUCUUGCGCGUUUUGUUCUUUGUCUUACUUUUAAAAGUGGCUAGGUGGCUCGCUGACAGCCACCCUUCUCCGCUUUUUCACUUGAAGCACUUUUGCCCUUCCCAUUUGCCCACAAGUCCCACUACCCCUGCUUCUUGGGAGCUUUCCAGAAAGUGCUUACACUGUCGCUGAUCCGUGUUUUCCUUUUUCCAUUCUCAUUUCUCCUUCAGGGCGUGAGUGUUUUUAAAAAACAAAAAAAAAGGCUUGAUUCCAAAGAGAUGGUGUCUCUCUGCUUUUCCUCCCGCUCCGUCUUCUCAGCUAACACUCCAGUGUUCCCAGAACGCUCCAUCUUGGCGUCUUUCUGCAGUUGGCACUCUGGACUGCUAUGGUGCAGACAUUCGUCGAUGUUCCAGGUUGUCUUGAAAGAAUGGAUUACAAUACGACAUCUGCCUAGGUCUCUCGAUCCAGUUUCCUGCCUUGUUCCAGUGUUCCGUGUCCUCACUGAUUUCUCGGCCUGCUUCACCGAAGAGUUACUGAGACUUCGGCUCUAAUCUCCCAGCAAACGGGUGAAUUCCAAGUGGCGUUUUCAAGAGAUGUGUCAACCUAGUCCACGUUUGCCCGGAACGCCUGCCCACUUUCUGGGAUCACAUGAAGCCAUCCGGGGUCGUGUAGUGACUGUUCCUACAGCAACAUGUUGUCGUGGGCAUCCAUUCCCCCAGGGCCAAUUCGAGGAACUCCAGGGUUUCCUUUGGGUAUUCUGGGAGCUGUGACACUCGGGGGCCUUCCAGCCCCUGGGAGAGACUGCCCCUGCCGGGACUGGCCAGUUCCUAAAGACGGUGAACGGCUGUCUUGGGGGCUGGCCUUUCUGGUGCUAGACAACUUCUUCUUUCUCGUUUUCAAAUGUUUGGGAGCCUUUGUGGCCUCCGUGGCUUCAAAUGAACAUUUCCUAGCAGGCAAAUCCAAGGGGAUUGGGGCGGCUUUCUUGAGACACUACUAGCUCCUUUUCCAAGGCUCCUAAGCCAAGCCAGUCUUUUCCCUGCCCUGAAUUGUCCCAGGGCCAGAUCCCAGGCCACCAGACACCGCCCCUCUCGCUCCCCCCUCCAGGACGAUUCCGAUUGGACGACUUUCAACUGUUUGCUCCGCCCCACCACGGAGCCCUUCCUGGAAACCCCAAUAAAGGCUCUGUCUCAGGCCCUCCCCUCUCACUCUUCUCCGCCAACCCUCCCCAGGCCUGCGGCUUCUCCUGGGUCCCUGCCUGCUGCGUGGCGCCUCUCCCGACCGAAGGAGCGGUGAGUAGCUUUCAACAUUUUUUAAGUAGCGUUGGCCUCAUUAUGAUUUCCAAGGAUUCCAUCAUCUCUUCUCUAAAAAGCAUCGUUAGGGACUCUCUAGAGCGCUUCAUGGCAACGUUUCUCCUAGAUACGAUGAUGCGAUGUUUACCAAAGAGAUUAACUGCUCGAGAGAACGCGAUCAGGAUGUUCCUAAAACCGAUGUGCCGGUCUGCAGCUCAGAAACUGCUUGUACAUGUAACGGCCAAGAUCGCCGCUGUUACUGAAAACCCGUUUGUGUCUAACCCUCUAAAAACUAUGACAUGUUUCUUUCAGAAGCAGCAGCCUCGGGACCCAAUUCCUGCAUACAUGGUGUAAGCAAACAAUGUGAAACUUGGUUUCAGAAACAGAUGUGAAACUUGAUUUAAGAAACAGAAGUGAAACUUGAUUUAAGAAACAGAAGUGAAACCUGAUUUAGGAAACGAUCGACAGGACUUCAGAAAACUCUGUGAAGCUUGAUUUAAGAAACAGAUGUGAAAGUUGGUUUAAGAAACGAUCGACACGACUUCAGAAAGCUAUGUGAAACUUGAUUUAAGAGAAACCAGUUCGGCUGAUGUGGAAGACUCCGACCAUGUAGAAAUGGAGCCUGUUUUGCCUUCCUCGAGGACUGACAGUUGAAACGAUCAAUGGAAUGAUCAGCACAAACAGAAAAUAU